rnacentral:rRNA from 1 species
AUUGAACGCUGGCGGCAGGCCUAACACAUGCAAGUCGAGCGGAUGAAGGGAGCUUGCUCCUGGAUUCAGCGGCGGACGGGUGAGUAAUGCCUAGGAAUCUGCCUGGUAUUGGGGGAUAACGUCCUGAAACGGGCGCUAAUACCGCAUACGGCCUGAGUGAGAAAGUGGGGGAUCUUCGGACCUCACGCUAUCAGAUGAGCCUAGGUCGGAUUGGCUAGUUGGUGGGGUAAAGGCCUACCAAGGCGACGGUCCGUAACUGGUCUGAGAGGAUGAUCAGUCCCACUGGAACUGAGACACGGUCCAGAAUACUACGGGAGGCAGCAGUGGGGAAUAUUGGAAAAUGGGCGAAAGCCUGAUCCAGCCAUGCCGGGUGUGUGAAGAAAGUCUUCGGAUUGUAAAGCACUUUAAGGUGGGAGGAAGGGCAGUAAGUUAAUACCUUGCUGUUUUGACGUUACCAACAGAAUAAGCACCGGCUAACUUCGUG